AUGAAGGUCAAGGAGUACUACCUUGUUGGCAGAAAAGUAGUUUUGAACUCUGGCAAUCUUGCCAGGAUGUGGAUCGAUCCUUGUGGGGAGGAGCGACCGAUGUGUGCUCAGUUUCCUAUUCUUUUCAAUGUGUGUCAUAAUCAAGAGAUUACCGUGGCUAAAUUUAGGGACGGUGAGGAUGAAAACUUUUUUAGAAGACGAUUACACCCUCCUCUUCUUGAUCAAUGGAGAGAGGUGCAAGCUAGGGUGAGGGCUUGGCCUCUCUCUAAUGAUCCUGAUCAAGUC
rnacentral:rRNA from 1 species